rnacentral:rRNA from 1 species
AUGAUGGCCGGGUCCUUUUUGUUCGCGUGCUUGGCGGCAGCCCUGCAGCCAACGUCGGCCGCCGAGGCCGGAAGGGGUGGGAUCUUGCAUAUCCCUUCCGCCGCCGACCUGGCCCGGGCUCGCUGCCCUUCCAGGUGCGGUGGUGUUGCCAUUCACUACCCGUUCGGCAUAGGGCCGGGCUGCUUCAGGCAAGGCUUCGAGCUCACCUGCAACCGCACCGCUGGUCAUAAGAGGCUCUUUCUGGCCAACACUACCACUGAGGUCCUUGCCGUGUAUCCCGGAGAAACUUUGCUUCGAGUCCCUCCUAUCCACUUCAACGUCACCAUGAAACCAGGUAUGAACGACACCUAUAACAUGUCAUGGGAGGCCCCUCUUAAAGGUGUUAUGGCUUCUGAAGACACUAGCUUGUUCGUUGUUGGCUGUGGUGUGGGUGUCUACUUGUUCGGCCAUGAUACCACCGAUCCCAUCGGUACUUGCAUGAGUAUUUGCCUAGACAACAAAGAGGCCAUGAAGGAGGCAAAUGCAAACCACUAUGGCGAUGUUGGGAUGGGUAGUUGUUCCAUUGAUUUGCAGCAGGACGUGCCAGCAUUUGGGUUCACAGUUGACCGCCUCAAAGGCGUCUCAGCACUAUCAGGUCAAGCUCAAUGGUUCUCUAAUACAAUCAAAGUUUUCCUGGCGGGGGAUUACAGAUUUGAUGUUGCCGACAUCUAUUCAAGUCGGGUAGACAAAAGAAACAUUGAUGCGCCAGUGUUUCAAAUGUCCAUCACGGAUCAACCAAGCUGUGAAAAUGCUCAGAAGAACAUGUCAAGCUAUGCUUGUAGCCAUGACAGCAAUUGCCAGGAUGUGCCAUAUGGAGGAGGCUACUCCUGUUAUUGCGGCCUUCACACAACCGGCGGCAAUCCGUAUCUUAUGGAUGGUUGUAAAGUGCAAUACAAUCCUAAUCAUAAAGGAGGUUGCACCAAAUUUUGCGGGAACACAAGUAUGCACUUCCCCUUUGGUCUUGAAGAAGGUUGCUACGCUGCAGAAAAAUUUCGACUUAACUGCACAUCAGAAAACAUCACAAUUCUUGAUCGAGGGGGUAACAAUAUUUAUCAAGGCGCCAAAUUAAUUGUGGACAACAUUUCAGUGAAUGAAGGAUAUCUUACUGUUAGAGAAACGAAAAAUAACUCAAGGUAUGGUAAUGAAGAGCUCGAGGUAAUUGGGUAUAGAAGCAAUGGGGACCUGGAAGUAGAAGACAUCUCUUCAGAUGGUUUUCAUUUAUCCGAAGAAUACGGUAUGAAGUUGUUGUGGUAUGUCGAUAAUUUGACAUGUUCGAAGGCUAGGAGCAAGCAAAGAAGAGCUACGUACGCAUGUCGUAGCAGCAAUAGCACUUGCAUGAUGGUCAACCAACCAGGCUACAAGAAUGCGACAAUCCAGCUCGGCUAUCGUUGCCAGUGCUCUCAAGGUUUUGAUGGAAAUCCAUACAUACUAAACGGAUGCCAAGAUGUCAAUGAGUGUUUGGUGAUGAAUAUUUGCAACGGCCCUUGCCUAAAUUAUCCUGGAGGCUAUAAUUGCAGUGAGUGCACACAUGGAAAAGAGUUUGAUCCAAUAGAACUCAAAUGUGUCAUGUCAACAAAGAGACACAAUCUUCUCUUAGGUAUCGCAAUUGGAAUUAGUUGUGGCCUUGGUGCCAUAAUUCUUGUGGUAGGUGCCACAGUACUCAUCAACAAGUGGAAGAGAGGCAUACAGAAGAGAAUUCGAAGGACAUACUUCAAGAAAAAUCAAGGCCUACUCUUGGAACAACUAAUAUUAGAUGAAAGUGCCACAGAUAAAACAAAGAUAUUCUCUUUGGAGGAAUUAGAUAAAGCAACAAACAACUUUGAUGUCAGUCGUAUACUUGGUCGUGGAGGACAUGGCACAGUUUACAAAGGGAUUCUAUCCGACCAACGUGUAGUGGCCAUAAAAAAGUCUAAGCUGGUGGAGCAAACUGAGAUUGACCAGUUUAUCAACGAGGUUGCCAUCCUGUCACAAAUCAUUCAUCGGAAUGUGGUCAAGCUUUUUGGUUGUUGUCUCGAAACAGAAGUGCCUUUGCUAGUUUAUGAGUUCAUAUCCAAUGGCACCCUAUAUGAUCUUCUUCACAUUGAUGUAAGCGUUCAAUGCUUACUUUUAUGGGAGGAUCGCAUUAGGAUUGCAGUAGAAGCUGCGGGUGCUCUUGCUUAUCUCCACUCAGCUGCUGCGAUACCAAUAUUCCAUAGAGAUGUCAAAUCUUCCAAUAUACUCCUAGAUGGCAACUUUACUACCAAGGUUUCUGACUUUGGUGCUUCGAGGUCUUUAUCGCUUGAUCAGACACAUGUAGUGACAAUUGUACAAGGAACUUUUGGUUACUUAGACCCCGAGUACUACCACACCGGGGAGCUAAGUGAGAAGAGCGAUGUUUAUAGCUUUGGAAUUAUACUGGUGGAGCUUCUGGUGAGAAAGAAGCCAAUUUUUAUUAAUGAGCAAGGUAUAAAACAAAGCUUGGCUCAUUACUUUGUGGAAGGACUUCAGCACGGAGUCCUCAUGGAAAUCAUUGAUCCCCAAGUUGCAGAAGAAGCGAACCAGAAUGAAAUUGAUGAUAUUGCCUCAGUUGCGGAAGCAUGCUUGAAAACCAAAGGAAGAGAAAGACCUACCAUGAAAGAGGUAGAAAUGAAGUUGCAACUCCUAAGAACUAGAAGAUUAAGGAGUCAACUUCCUCCCAUAAAUGAUGGAGAGGUCGAGUCACUUGGGUACCUAAAUGGCGCUAGCUCUCAUGCACAGAGCAACAACAUUCUCAGUAAUGUUAGCUUAACAUCUACAUGCAUCUCUGGAAAGUACAGUCUGGAGCAAGAGUUCUUGAACUCGGCCAGCUUGCCACGCUAG